UGCUUGGUUGUGUGGUUCAAAGAGUUCUUAUAGUUGUGGUUGCUGCUUACAAGCUGACCUCUAUUUUAGUCAGUAGUACAAAAUUAAAGGUGCUCAUUCCUGAACCACUGAUAUGGCUGUUUAAACAGUCUUUUACUUGAGCUACUAUUCAGGUUGAAAAGUCCAGUACUGAUUCUUGUAAAACAAAAAGUAAUAGUCACCAACUAUGACAUUUUCAUGAGAGUCCAAACUAGGAAUGGGGGGGAAAUCAUCCUAAAGUACAUUACCUUUUUUUAUGGGUAGAAAUUGUGUUUGAAAGAGAGAAAUAGCUAUCUUAAGGUGAAUUAUUUUUUUCACACUAUUUUAGAGGAUUUCCUGUUUUCACUGUUUUUUUUUCAGGAUCUGGACAACUCUUUCCUUAGCUCAGAAGAGAAAAAUGGAAUUCGAAACUUUUUGACAGACUGUGGACAUGUGUUGUUGACUAGAAUUACUUCACCAACUGAUAGGUCAGUCACAGUGGGUAAUGUCUCCCUUCCAUCAACAAGCACCAGUUCUCAAACUUUACAGGUCUGCAGCUUGAUCAGAGAAGUAUUUCUUACACGAGAACUGGCAUCCCAUUCACAUGUGUUGUGUGGUCAGUUUCACAUGAAAGAGAACAGUCUUGGGUACCAGUUAUUGAAGAAUGGACGUCUAACCACUGAUUUAAAAGAAGAACUUAAGUCAUAUAAGGAACUUAGCCUUCCUGGAAAAGAGAAUGUUGCUUUGGUGAGUGUUUUGAACAACUCAUUCCAGUGUCCUGGAUUUAGCCUUCAGAGUUGUUACCAGGCGGUUAAGGUAGGAGAUUUUAUGAUUUUUUUUUAAAA